rnacentral:rRNA from 1 species
GAUGAACGCUGGCGGCGUGCCUAAUACAUGCAAGUCGAGCGAACAGACGAGGAGCUUGCUCCUUUGACGUUAGCGGCGGACGGGUGAGUAACACGUGGGUAACCUACCUAUAAGACUGGGAUAACUUCGGGAAACCGGAGCUAAUACCGGAUAAUAUUUCGAACCGCAUGGUUCGAUAGUGAAAGAUGGCUUUGCUAUCACUUAUAGAUGGACCUGCGCCGUAUUAGCUAGUUGGUAAGGUAACGGCUUACCAAGGCAACGAUACGUAGCCGACCUGAGGGGGGGAUCGGCCACACUGGAACUGAGACACGGUCCAGGCUCCUACGGGAGGCAGCAGUAGGGAAUCUUCCGCACUGGGCGAAAGCCUGACGGAGCAACGCCGCGUGAGUGAUGAAGGGCUUCGGAUCGUAAAACUCUGUUAUUAGGGAAGAACAAACGUGUAAGUAACUGUGCGCGUCUUGACGGUACCGAAGCAGAAAGCCACGGCAAACUACGU